rnacentral:rRNA from 1 species
AAUGGCGAAUGAACAGGGGUAAGCUCAGCAUUAAAAUUGGGGCGGCCUUGAAUUGUAGCCUCGAGAUGUACAACUAACAGGGGUGCAGGUGUAAGCCUCCUGGAAAGGAGCGCCGGCGAGGGUGAGAGCCCCGCGCGUCUUCUGCAGCCCCCUGUGCACAGUGUACUUUCCAAGAGUCACGUUCCUCGGGAUUGGAGCGCAAAGUGGGUGGUAAAUUUCAUCUAAAGCUGAAUAUGGGUCCGAGACUGAUAGCAAACAAGUACCCUGAGGGAAAGAUGAAAAGGACUUUGAAAAGAGAGUUAAAAGAGCCUGCCAUUGCUGAAAGGGAAGCGAACGAUACCAGUGUGACUUGGCGGGAUUGCCUCACAUUACCCGUCUUGAAACACGGACCAAGGAGUCUAACAUAUGUGGGAGUUCGCGGGUUUCUAAUCCUGUUUGCGCAAUGAAAGUGACUGCUGGGAUUACUGCACCAGCAACCGACCAAUCAACUGCGAGAGGUUUGAGUGUGAGCAUGUCUGUUAGGACCCGAAAGAUGGUGAACUAUGCCUGUGAAGGGCAAACUCAGGGGAAACUCUGAUGGAGGCUCGUAGCGAUACUGACGUGCAAAUCGUUCGUCAUACAUGGGUAUGGGGGCGAAAGACUAAUCGAACCAUCUAGUAGCUGGUUCCCUCCGAAGUUUCCCUCAGGAUAGCUGGAGUUGAUCAGUUUUAUCAGGUAAAGCGAAUGAUUAGAGGAAUCGGGGACGCGUUGUCCUCGACCUAUUCUCAAACUUUAAAUGGGUAAGAUCCAGUGGUUACUUGGGUGAACUUCUGGGAUACAUGACAACUCUAAGUGGGCCAUUUUUGGUAAGCAGAACUGGCGAUGAGGGAUGAACCUAACGUUGGGUUAAGGUGCUUAACUGCUCGCUCAUCAGAUACCAUAAAGGGUGUUGGUUCAUUUUAACAGCAGGACGGUGGUCAUGGAAGUCGAAAUCCGCUAAGGAGUGUGUAACAACUCACCUGC